GGGCGACGAGGUUAUGAACCUUGUUCUUGGAAUAGAAGCUUCAAAACACAGGAAAUAUCAGAAGUGACAUCUUAUACAUUGCAAGAACUGAGGCAAGCAAAUUGUCCAAGCAGACUAAUAAAAGGGAAUCCAAUCAAACCAGUUCUAUGCCUGCUUCUCGGACUGAAUCGAUAACUGCUUUGACCUUUCCAUGGUAUCUUUGUUCUUUCUUAAAGAAAACAGAUACAGCAGGAACUCCUUUAGCCUGCAACCGCUCUCCCAACAACUUACCUAUUUUUGCUGCAGCAGCAACGUCUCUAGUAUUUUCUUUUGAUUCUACCAUGGCAAGCCUUAAGCCUUUCUCUUGUGAGCUUGCAGAAGCAGCCACUGUUGCUGUUGGCGUGUGAACUACUUGAGCAUUUACAUACUUGUUUGUGAAAUGCAUCCUCAGCACGUAAGGUUUGAGAUACUUCAGCACUCUGUCUGGUCUAACUGGUGGAGGAAUCACCAUUUCUUUAAUAAUGAGAGAAUGGAAUCUCCGUCGCCGGUCGCCGGUCGCCGCUAGUUGCUGGUGGUGGUGCUCAGCCUCAGUCUCUCUCACUCAGAAGU
rnacentral:misc_RNA from 1 species